rnacentral:tRNA from 4 species
GGAGGGCUCGCAUAGUGGCCGAGUGCGGCGGUCUUGAAAACCGCUAUGGGUUCAUAGCCCAUCGUGGGUUCGAAUCCCACGCCCUCCGCCA